rnacentral:rRNA from 1 species
UACGAAGGGGGCUAGCGUUGCUCGGAAUCACUGGGCGUAAAGCGCACGUAGGCGGCUUCUUAAGUCAGGGGUGAAAUCCUGGAGCUCAACUCCAGAACUGCCUUUGAUACUGGGAGGCUCGAGUCCGGGAGAGGUGAGUGGAACUGCGAGUGUAGAGGUGAAAUUCGUAGAUAUUCGCAAGAACACCAGUGGCGAAGGCGGCUCACUGGCCCGGUACUGACGCUGAGGCGCGAAAGCGUGGGGAGCAAACAGG